CCAGAAGCCAGUUUGCCUGGAGGCGUCCGGAACGUGGCCCCACGUGGACUGGGGUCCCGACGCCCCUUCGGACUCCGCACUCUCCCCCCAACGCCACCACCCGGGGACCCCACUCACCAUGACUGAGACUUGUAGGGUUCUGCGGGGCUGAAGGAGGCGAGGGAACGUCCACGAAGCUCUCCCACUGACAGACUACCAAGGAGUCCGGGGGAGAAAUAGUGAGAGGGAAGGCGGCCCCGAGGGAUCCUAUAUACCACGAUCCUGGCCACGUGUCGGAAGGGCGGGCACCGGACCCGCCCUGGCCUCCGCGGCCCCGCCUCCGAGCCCAAGGUCCCCGGCCGGAUGCCCGAUUUUACCCUGCCCGCGGAGAGAGGAGGGGCGCGUGGCGCUCAUUGCCUAGCCUUGGGUCCUGUGGAGAGCAGCUCUUCUCUACCAGCUCCUGGGGACCUCAUUCUUUCCAGCACUUUCAAGAGGAAGUGAGAGCAACCCCCAGCCAGGAAACCACCCAGCACAAGUGUAUGAUCUGAUGGCUCACGUCCUACAGGCCCGGGGGGAAAAACAGAUCACCUUUUCUAAAGGGAAAGAUACUGCAGUUCCACCCAGGAGCAGGAAAUAUCGAUUGCUUCAUAAAACAGAGCUCAGGAAGGAUUCAGGCCCUGGCACUGCCUGCACGUUUCUGAAGCAGAUCCCUCGCCCCGCUGCCCUCAGUUUCCGUCUGUGAAAUUCCAUCAAUAAUUCUUGAACCUUUAUCAUAUCAAAAACAUGUUAUACUGGUAUUAUGUAAGAAUUAGAUAA